AUGAGAUGGAGCUGGAUCAUCCUCUUCCUCCUGUCAGUAACUUCAGGUGUCUACUCCCAGGUCCACCUACAGCAGUCUGGUCCUGUUCUGGGGAGUCCUGGAUCCUCAGUUAAGCUGUCCUGCAAGGCUUCAGGCUACACUUUCACUGAUUACUUUAUUACCUGGGUGAAGCAAAAGCCUGGACAGGGCCUGGAGUGGAUUGGAAGGAUUUAUGGUGGAAGUGGUGGUGCUGACUAUGCUCAGAAUUUCAAGGGCAAGGCCACACUGACUGCAGACACAUCCUCCAGCACAGCCUACUUGGAGCUCAGCAGCUGA